UUCUAGGACCAUACCACCCUGAAUGUGCCCGAUCUUGUCUGAUCUCAGAAGCUAAGCAGGGUUGGGCCUGCUUAGUACUUGGAUGGAAGAAAAUCCUGAAGAAUCUACGAAAAAACUCCUAGAAC
rnacentral:rRNA from 1 species